AUUGAACGCUGGCGGCAGGCCUAACACAUGCAAGUCGAACGAGUGGCGGACGGGUGAGUAAUGUCUGGGAAACUGCCUGAUGGAGGGGGAUAACUACUGGAAACGGUAGCUAAUACCGCAUACCAUCAGAUGUGCCCAGGUGGGAUUAGCUAGUUGGUGGGGUAACGGCUCACCAAGGCGACGAUCCCUAGCUGGUCUGAGAGGAUGACCAGCACCACUGGAACGGAGAGGCGAUCCAGACUCCUACGGAAGGCAGGAGUGGUGAAUAUUGCACAAGUGGCGGAAGCCAGAUGUAGACAGGCCGCGUGUAUGAAGAAGGCCUUCGGGUUGUAAAGGACAUUCGGCGGGGUGGCGUUACCCGCAGAAGAAGCACCGGCUAACUCCGUGCCAGCAGCCGCGGUAAUAC
rnacentral:rRNA from 1 species